CACAUACUCCCUCCGUUCCGAAUUACUUGUCUUGGAUUUGUCUAGAUACGAAUGUAUCUAGACUCAUUUUAGUGCUAGAUACCUCCGUAUCUAGACAAAUCUAAGACAAGUAAUUUGGAACGGAGGGAGUACACG
rnacentral:pre_miRNA from 1 species